CGAGCCACUUCAUAAUUGUGUUAGCUUGACCAAUUGACCACCGGCAACAUAAACACCAGCAGCAUGGUUUUAGUGGCGCAGCCACCGCCACCACUGGCGGCAAAGUGAGUCAUGUUGUUGUUUUUGGGCUCCAAUAACGCCCUCCCCCACGGCCUUGUCCACACGCUACACCAUAAAAAUAUAAAGCCCCUCAAAAGCACCAAAAUCAAAACCAAUAAAAGUCAUUCCAUUCGAGAUUCUUGUUUGCACCUUGUUACAGUCAACACAACAUGUUAUGCAAGAAUUUCUAUGUCUCUGUAUGAGAAUGAGAUACUCCACAUAAAUCAACACCAUUCUUGUUUAUCUUUUCGGAUCCACACACAGCAGAGAGGCGGAUAAUAGAUGAAUAAGGGAAAUGGAGGGAGCAGAGAAAGAGUUGGAGAGGAGAAGCAAGUUCUUGAACAGUUUAAUCGAGAAGAAAAAGAAGGCAGUUGAGCAAAAACAACAGCAUGAUCGGAUGAACGUGCGCGUGAGGGCCUCGGAUAUGCCUUUGUCUCUGCAGAAUCACGCCUUCAUGACUGCUAGAAACAUUCUUGACUCCAUGCCCACUUCUUCCAAGCUUGACAGCAAACGCCUUGCUCUUUCACUCAAAAAGGAGUUCGACUCAACAUAUGGUCCGGCUUGGCAUUGCAUUGUGGGAACCAGCUUCGGAUCAUAUGUGACACAUUCACUGGGAGGGUUCUUGUAUUUCUCAAUAGAUAAGAUGAGAAAGAAGAGUCACAGUCAGCACCAAAUGAAGCUCUUUUCUUUUUCUUGGCUUAUCUUCCUCUCUUUGAACUUUUAGCCAUGACUCGAGUCUGCAAAACACUGAGAGAAGCCAUAAACAAUGACAUACUCCCCUGGCUGAAACUCGUCGUGGAUCGGCCUAUCAAUUGCCGUCUCACUGACGAUAUCCUCAUGGAAGUUGCUUCCAAAGCAGAAGGUAGGCUGCAAGUUUUGGUUCUGAUCAACUGUGUGAAGAUUACUGAUGAUGGGCUGUUGAGGGUUAUUGCACAGAAUCCUCAUAUCAGCCAGCUUCAUGUACCAGGCUGCACAAGCUUAUCACCAGGAGGAGUCAUUAGAGCGCUGAAGCUUCUAACCAAGAACAGCCACAGAAUCAAGAGCCUCAAGAUCAGCGGAAUCUAUGGUGUUCAGAAGGAAGACCUUGAGAUGAUUCAUAAUCUGAUCAAUCACAAACAAACACAACACAAGAGAAACAUUAUCUUUUGUCACGAGUACAAGAAAUUCUCGACCCUAAAACACAUAGACACCAACUGUCCAGUUGAUCUUGAUGUAUGUCCAAAGUGCAACGAGGUAAGAAUGGUUUUCGACUGCCCUAAAGUUGACUGUAAGAAGCGACAAGGGAGCCAGUGUAGGGGGUGUGAAUAUUGUGUUACGAGAUGUGUAGAGUGUGGCAUAUGCAUAACAGAGAGUCAAGAACUGGAAGAGGUUUCCUGCUCAGAAACUUUGUGUUCGGAUUGUUGGAUAAAGCUGCCAAAAUGCAACUUUUGUAAUAAGCCAUACUGUAGCCAGCAUGCGGAUCAGCAGCACAGGGUUUCAGGGUCUACAGGAUUUGUAUGUGCUGCUUGCCAUUCAAAAUACUAUUGAGAGCUUUGUAGUCAUUUCUGUAAAUUUCUAAAUUACACUAACACCCCUUUAGUA